CCUACGGGAGGCAGCAGUGGGGAAUAUUGGGCAAUGGGCGCAAGCCUGACCCAGCAACGCCGCGUGAAGGAAGAAGGCCCUCGGGUUGUAAACUUCUUUUGUCAGGGACGAAACAAAUGACGGUACCUGACGAAUAAGCCACGGCUAACUACGUGCCAGCAGCCGCGGUAAUACGUAGGUGGCAAGCGUUCUCCGGAUUUACUGGGUGUAAAGGGCGUGUAGGCGGGAGAGCAAGUCAGAUGUUAAAUUCCAGGGCUCAACCCUGGCACUGCAUUUGAAACUGUUUGUCGUGAGUGAUGGAGAGGCAGGCGGAAUGCCGUGUGUAGCGGUGAAAUGCGUAGAUAUACGGAAGAACACCAGUGGCGAAGGCGGCCUGCUGGACAUUAACUGACGCUGAGGCGCGAAAGCGUGGGGAGCAAACAGGAUUAGAUACCCUAGUAGUC
rnacentral:rRNA from 1 species